AGCUCGUAGUUGAACCUUGGGCCUGGCUGGCCGGUCCGCCUCACCGCGUGUACUGGUCCGGCCGGGCCUUUCCCUCUGUGGAACCCCAUGCCCUUCACUGGGUGUGGCGGGGAAACAGGACUUUUACUUUGAAAAAAUUAGAGUGCUCCAGGCAGGCCUAUGCUCGAAUACAUUAGCAUGGAAUAAUAGAAUAGGACGUGUGGUUCUAUUUUGUUGGUUUCUGGGACCGCCGUAAUGAUUAAUAGGGACAGUCGGGGGCAUCAGUAUUCAAUUGUCAGAGGUGAAAUUCUUGGAUUUAUUGAAGACUAACUACUGCGAAAGCAUUUGCCAAGGAUGUUUUCAUUAAUCAGGAACGAAAGUUAGGGGAUCGAAGACGAUCAGAUACCGUCGUAGUCUUAACCAUAAACUAUGCCGACUAGGGAUCGGACGGGCUUCUUUUUUGACCCGUUCGG
rnacentral:rRNA from 1 species